AUAACGUCUGCCAUCUGUAUUACGACCUCUGUGUGGACUGUUCUCUAGCACGAAAACGCCAGGACGUCCUAAAGUACCGCAAGCUGUGCCGGCGGUGUUCCACGGACGCGGCGGCGGCCGCCGGCCUCGCCAAGAGGCAGCACGCGUGCAGG